rnacentral:misc_RNA from 1 species
UCCGGCUUAUCACCGGCAGUCUCCCAUGAGUCCCCGCCAUUACGUGCUGGCAACUAAAAAUAAGGGUUGCGCUCGUUGCGGGACUUAACCCAACACCUCACGGCACGAGCUGACGACAACCAUGCACCACCUGUGUACGGCCCCUAAGGACACCGUAUCUCUACGGCUUUUCCGUACAUUUCAAGCCUUGGUAAGGUUCUUCGCGUUGCUUCGAAUUAAGCCACAUGCUCCGCCGCUUGUGCGGGCCCCCGUCAAUUCCUUUGAGUUUUAACCUUGCGGUCGUAAUCCCCAGGCGGGGUGCUUAAUGCGUUAGCUACGGCACGGAGGGAGUGGAUAACCCCCCACACCUAGCACCCAUCGUUUACGGCGUGGACUAC